UUCCAUCACAUAUAUGGGAGGAUCACCGUAUUGAGUCUGAAAGUUCCUGGGAGGCGGGAGGCGGCCAGCCUGGUUCAUCAGCAUCCAGUCCUCUAGUGCUGCCACCUAGUGGACGCUUAAUAAUCUCUGGAUACUUGGAAAUUCUGAGAUGCAUUUGUGGCCAGUCUCCAGCAUGCACACAGGACUUGGAUUAUGCAUUUGUGUGUGACGUCUUACUCUCCCUCCCAGCUGCUCCUUUUGUCUAUUAUUCUAAGACCUGUCUGAGGUAUGCAUACACUUCUGCAAGCUGGUUCUCAAAUCCUUCUUUUUUUUGGAACAAAACUGAAGGAGUACUGCACAAAGAAAUAAUCAUAUUGGAAUUUUCUGGACAUUUUCAUGGUUUGUGGUGUCCAACUAUGUGGAAUUGAGUUUGUUCCAGUAAAUCUGGAAUGAAUUGACAUCCUAUCCACAGAGUAUGGACUUACGUGUAUAACACGCAUGUGUACACACACACACACACACACACACACGUGCACACGAAUUCCUGUCUUGGUGCAGACACUGGCAUUGGCAGUAAAACAUCAAUUCCAAACUGAAAGAUCUCACAUGGCAGUGGCCUUGCUGCCUGGGACCCCUGCAGGGCGGAGGUGUGGGGAGGGACAGAGAUUUGGAUAUGGGCCUUGGAGGGCUGGAGGCUGGUGCUGGGAACAAGCGAUGAUAAUGAUGGUGACAGGUCUGGAACUGGCCCAGCCAGCACCUCCCACCAGGGCUCUUUGGCCUGAGCUCAUCUCCUAGAAAUUUUCAGGAUCGUGCCUUGCAUUUUUCUCCCCCCAUUUCCACCUGUGGGGAACCCCAUGGCUGGCUGCUGAAGAUGCCAGCCAAGUCCUCUGCUUCCAGUUUCUGAAGGGUGAAAGGAGGAGGCUGUGGGGUAGGGAGAGAGGAGAGUCUCUGUGAAGAUGGGAAGAAGCGCCUCAGCUUGUCUCCCUCAGGACAUUCUCUGGAGCCUGUCUUCUAGAGCAUCCAUCACAGGCCUCGUUUCACUUUUAUUUAGGAGGCUGUUUGGUAAGAGUCCAUCUCCUCAUAGCUUCUAACCUUGUCUGUUUUUAUUCUCCAUUGAAUCCCAUGGUUUUGCCUAUGGUACUGCUGUUUGCUUAAGGAUGAAUGAAUGAAUGAAGAGUUUUUCCCUUCAUCCCUGCAGAGGCCGUGAG
rnacentral:lncRNA from 1 species